rnacentral:rRNA from 1 species
CGUGUAGGCGGUAUGGCAAGCGGUGUGUGAAAUCCCGGGGCUCAACCCCGGAACUGCAUACCGAACUGCCGUACUAGAGGACAGGAGGGGGAUGUGGAACUCUAGGUGUAGCGGUGAAAUGCGUAGAUAUCUAGAGGAACGCCGGUGGCGAAAGCGACAUCCUGGCCUGUAUCUGACGCUGAGGCGCGAAAGCGUGGGUAGCAAACA